GCUCUUAAUAAGCUUCCUUUUGCCUCUACAGAGGUGGUGGAGAUUUCAAUCAGAGGUGAGGAACCAAGUGAGGGUAAGGUCGAUAAGCCUAACACCAAGAUCCUCUUCAUUGGUGCCACCAUAGGGAUGGAGAAUGCUAGCUGUUGUCCCUGCCGUCACUCGCUAAUAUGCAACUAUCCAGUGCCCAUCUUGCCUAUCCCUUUCUCGACCCCAUCAACUUCCUC
rnacentral:lncRNA from 1 species